rnacentral:rRNA from 1 species
AAUGAACGCUGGCGGCAGGCCUAAAACAUGCAAGUCGAACGCCCUAGCAAUAGGGAGUGGCGCACGGGUGAGUAACACGUGGGAAUAUGCCUUUUGGUACGGAACAACGUCUGGAAACGGACGCUAAUGCCGUAUGGUACCUUCGGGGUAAAGAUUUAUCGCCAAAAGAUUAGCCCGCGUCUGAUUAGCUAGUUGGUGAGGUAAUGGCUCACCAAGGCGACGAUCAGUAGCUGGUCUGAGAGGACGAUCAGCCACACUGGGACUGAGACACGGCCCAGACUCCUACGGGAGGCAGCAGUUAGGAAUAUUGGACAAUGGACGCAAGUCUGAUCCAGCCAUGCCGCGUGAGUGAUGAAGGCCUUCGGGUUGUAAAGCUCUUUAGUCCACGAUUAUAAUGACUGUAGUGGAAGAAUAAGCCCCGGCUAACUUCGUGCCAGCCGCCGCGGUAACAC